GAUUGUGUUGUUCUCUUUUUCAUUCUGUGCUUUUUCUCUCUCAAAUCUUCGGCGACCAGGUGCGGUUUUGCGCUUUACUCAUUCUUUGGUCUUAGUCUUCUUGGUUUGAACCUUUGAUUUUGUAGUUGCAGGUGUUGUUGCUGGUGGCGCUUUCUUAGUUUCUGCUUUGUCGUUGCUUAGGUUUAUUCUGACGGCGACGUAUACCGUAUUCCUCGGUGUUCUUGCCCGUGGAGUUUUCUUAAUUAAUGGUGUAUUUGAUACUUCUUUUCUCUACGUGUUUAUAUGAUUAGGUUUACAAGCUCUUAUCCCUGGUUUAAAAUUUGAUUGACGAAACUUGAUAAAUGUUCUUCGUGUUAGUUUAGCAUAUCCUUGCUUAGUUUUUUAGUGAUCUCUUGAGAACAAAAGAAUGCCUUCAAUUUUUUUUAUCCCUUAUUACACAAAUGGGGCUGGUAAAGACUCUUCUAUUACAAAUUGAACAAGAGCACCAUUCAAGGGCAACCGAUUAAGUGGAGAUGGAUUGUAAAAUAGGAUUAAAUUCCUAUAAAAGUUAACUAUCAGAUAUGAAGGGUCGUUCAUGACAGAAUACCAACAAAGGCACCGUUAAUGAAGAGAGGCUCGAGCAAUUUAGAAGACGGUUAGACUGCCGCAUAUGGUUGAAUAGAACACAUUUUUGUUGGCUACCAUCUAGUGAAAUUCACUAGGGCUUUAGUAACAAAUUGGUGCAUACUACAUUAUCUCAGAUUAAAGCAACAUAUUCAAGGUCUAAUCAAAACAGAGGAUAGAGGAUGGGUGUCUUAAGGCUAAAAGGAAGGUAAUCUCAGCUAUAUUCUUAACUUCAAUAUGGGUGCUUUGGCUCAAAAGGAACAAAAAAAGAUUUCAAAGGGAAAUAGGUUUAUAUUCAAAAUGUAAUUGAGGACAUUAAGGCUCUAUGUUCCUCUUGGUUACAAACAUAUCGUCUCUACAAAACAUUUCUCGGGAGUAACGGUGUGCGUUUUAUUUUGAUGUAUACUUUUUAGGUGAUGAGUUCUUUAUGGAUGUUUUGGUGUUAUAUUUAGGGUUCUCUUUCGGUGACUCUGGCGAGUACCGACGCUGUAACGAAUCAGACGGAUACCGAGCUUCUAUGAUAUAUGGAUGUCAAC